rnacentral:rRNA from 1 species
AUGGCAUCGUCCGUCCGGCGCCUUGCUCUCGUCGUGCUCGUGGUCGUCGUCGUUCUGAUAAGUGGCAUGAGCCUUGUCCGCGCAGCGCGGCCAGAGCCGGCGGAGAGGAGCGGGGACGGUGGGGCUUACUUGGCGGUGUACCCGGAGGCGGAGAGACGGGAGAUGCUCACGGCGAGGCUACUGGCCGGGCCCAGCCGAAGGGGCGCCGGCCACUAG